AUAAAUGUAUUGAAAUGUAAAGUGUAAGUAUUUAAAUAAAACAGCAUUUUACACCUGACAAGUCUGUUAUUAAUCAGCAUAGAUAGAGGAAUGCAUUGGUGGGAUUUGAAUUUAGCGUGUAAAGG